UGCGAAUCCCCUCGGGCAGCGUGUGGACGGGGACGCGCCGCUCCAUGGCCUCCCGAGGCUCCGCGGCGGGGUCGGGGAAGCUGCCAGAGGCUCCCAUGAAGUGUUGAAAAAUACUCCCAAGGUCUCCCUGGAGCCUUCUCUCCUCCGGGCUGAGCACCCUCACUCAGCCUGUCCCCAGAGCAGAGCUGCUCCAGCCCUUUGAUCAUCUCUGUGGCCUCCUCUGGACUUGCUGCAGUAGGUCCAUGUCCUUCUCAUGUUAGGGACCUCAGGGAUGGACCCAGCACUGUAGGGAAUCUCACCAGAGCAGAGCAGAGGGUGACAACCCUCUCCCUUGUCCUGCCGGUCAUGCUGCUGGUGAUGCAGGGACCAACCAAGACACAGCUGGUUUCUGGGUUGCUGGCUCAUGUUCAGCUUUUCGUCUACCAGUACCCCCAAGUCCCUUCCUGCAGGGCUGCUCUCCAUCCCCUCCUUCCCCAGUCUGUAUCGAUACCAGGGAUUGCUCCAACCCAGCUGGAGGACCUUGCACCAGCCCGGUGUAAAAUGAAUACCUGGGGACGGAGGAGCUGCCCUGCCAGGGCUGGAGCUGGCUCUGGAGAGGGAGGAGAGCGGCACAAACGCCGUCCUGGUUUCACAGCACAGCCCUGGAGCUGUUGCCCCAGAACCGAUCCUCACGCCCGGGUGAGCUACGUGUCAAAGCAGAGGCACGUGCUCAGGCUCCACGUGAAGCAGCUCUGCGCUGCCAGCGCCCACUGAAACCCACUCGAGGGCACAGAGAAGCUGUAAAAAUAAAUAAACCAGAAAAAGCUGUGAGA